CGGAGGUUGCAGUGAGCUGAGAUUGUGCCAUUGCACUCCAGCCUGGGUGACAGAGCGAGACUCUAUUUCAAAAAAGAAAAAAGAAAAAAAGAAGAAGAAAAAGAGGAAGAAGAAGUAAUACACCAGUGUUGCCAGUGAGCAAGCGGGAGGGUGUUUGGCUACUGAAGUGCAGUGGAGCACAGCAAUGCGCAAAUCAAAGGAACUUGCUUCUUCAAGGUCUUCUAGCAGUGGUUCUGACAGUGAUGUUGACAAAAAGUUAAAGAGGAAAAAGCAGGUUGCUCCAGAAAGACCUGUAAAGAAGCAAAAGACUGGUGAAAAUUGAAGAGCUCUGUCAUCUUCCAAAGAGAACAGCAGCAACAGCACAGAUGAUAACCUGAUGUUUCAGGAAAACACAAUUAUUGGCCUUUCAAGACUCCACGGAAGUGAAUCCCCAGAAAUUUGCAACUGACUGCUCCCACUCUGCCCCCUCUGCUUCUGAAGCAAAUCCUGUCAUAGCCCCUGUGGGGCUGUCCAACCCAACACCCCCUGUGUUCCUAUUGUGUGUGUUUUCUUGUCAGUGUCCUGCAGUGGAACAGAAGCUCCUCAAGGGCUCCAGUUGCCUCCAAUUCUCCUUUCUAUCCCUGGCUGGCAGGACAAGCCUUCAAACAAUAAAUAUCUGUCAAGGAGUUUUAUGGAUGGAUGACUGAAUGAAUGUAAAAAGGAU
rnacentral:lncRNA from 1 species